rnacentral:rRNA from 1 species
CAGCCGCCACGGUAAUACGUAGGGUGCAAGCGUUAAUCGGAAUUACUGGGCGUAAAGCGUGCGCAGGCGGUUCGUUAAGACAGAUGUGAAAUCCCCGGGCUUAACCUGGGAACUGCAUUUGUGACUGGCGAGCUAGAGUAUGGCAGAGGGGGGUAGAAUUCCACGUGUAGCAGUGAAAUGCGUAGAGAUGUGGAGGAAUACCGAUGGCGAAGGCAGCCCCCUGGGCCAAUACUGACGCUCAUGCACGAAAGCGUGGGGAGCAAACAGGAUUAGAUACCCCCGUAGUCCCUGUCUCUUAUAC